rnacentral:rRNA from 1 species
UUACAAUGGAGAGUUUGAUCCUGGCUCAGGAUGAACGCUAGCUACAGGCUUAACACAUGCAAGUCGAGGGGCAGCAUUAUCGAAGCUUGCUUUGAUAGAUGGCGACCGGCGCACGGGUGAGUAACGCGUAUCCAACCUUCCCCAUAGUCAGGAAUAGCCCGGCGAAAGUCGAAUUAAUGCCUGAUGUUUUCCACGGACGGCAUCUGAUGUGGAACAAAGAUUCAUCGCUAUGGGAUGGGGAUGCGUCUGAUUAGCUUGUUGGCGGGGUAACGGCCCACCAAGGCAACGAUCAGUAGGGGUUCUGAGAGGAAGGUCCCCCACAUUGGAACUGAGACACGGUCCAAACUCCUACGGGAGGCAGCAGUGAGGAAUAUUGGUCAAUGGGCGGAAGCCUGAACCAGCCAAGUAGCGUGAGGGAUGACUGCCCUAUGGGUUGUAAACCUCUUUUAUAAGGGAAUAAAAUACGGGACGUGUCCUGUUUUGCAUGUACCUUAUGAAUAAGGACCGGCUAAUUCCGUGCCAGCAGCCGCGGUAAUACGGAAGGUCCGGGCGUUAUCCGGAUUUAUUGGGUUUAAAGGGAGCGCAGGCGGUCUUAUAAGCGUGACGUGAAAUGCAGCGGCUCAACCGUAUGAUGUGCGUCGCGAACUGUGAGACUUGAGUGUAUUCGAUGUCAGCGGAAUUUGUGGUGUAGCGGUGAAAUGCUUAGAUAUCACGAAGAACUCCGAUUGCGAAGGCAGCUGACAAGGCUACAACUGACGCUAAAGCUCGAAAGUGCGGGUAUCGAACAGGAUUAGAUACCCUGGUAGUCCGCACGGUAAACGAUGGAUGCCCGGUGUUUGCGAUAUACAGUGAGCGCCCAAGCGAAAGCGUUAAGCAUCCCACCUGGGGAGUACGCCGGCAACGGUGAAACUCAAAGGAAUUGACGGGGGCCCGCACAAGCGGAGGAACAUGUGGUUUAAUUCGAUGAUACGCGAGGAACCUUACCCGGGCUUGAACUGUAGGCGAACGAUCCAGAGAUGGUGAGGCCCUUCGGGGCGCCUAUGGAGGUGCUGCAUGGUUGUCGUCAGCUCGUGCCGUGAGGUGUCGGCUUAAGUGCCAUAACGAGCGCAACCCCUCUCUUCAGUUGCCAUCAGUUUAGGCUGGGCACUCUGGAGACACUGCCACCGUAAGGUGUGAGGAAGGUGGGGAUGACGUCAAAUCAGCACGGCCCUUACGUCCGGGGCUACACACGUGUUACAAUGGGUGGUACAGAGAGUUGGGUGUACGCAAGUGCAUUCUAAUCAAGAAAGCCAUCCUCAGUUCGGACUGGGGUCUGCAACCCGACCCCACGAAGCUGGAUUCGCUAGUAAUCGCGCAUCAGCCAUGGCGCGGUGAAUACGUUCCCGGGCCUUGUACACACCGCCCGUCAAGCCAUGAAAGCUGGGGGCACCUGAAGUCCGUGACCGCAAGGGUCGGCCUAGGGUGAAACCGGUGAUUGGGGCUAAGUCGUAACAAGGUAGCCGUACCGGAAGGUGCGGCUGGAACACCUCCUUUCU